AUGUCGUAACAAGGUUUCCGUAGGUGAACCUGCGGAAGGAUCAUUAUUGAAGAUACACCUGCGUGCGUCCUCGCUUCGGCAGGACACGCGCACAACUUCAUAUCCAUAACACCUGUGAACCGUAAGACGUGGUGACCCCCGGGUCCCCGUCUGCCCCCUUUAUCAAACAUCAGUAGUAACAAAAGUAGUCUUAUUAUAAUCUAAUAAAA
rnacentral:misc_RNA from 1 species